UUGACCUCGGAUCAGGUAGGAUUACCCGCUGAACUUAAGCAUAUCAAUCAAGCGGAGGA
rnacentral:rRNA from 1 species